UGAGCAAUCUGCCCUUCUCAUCGGAAUAAGCGUUGGAAACGACGUCUAAUGCCGAAUACGACCUCCUUUCGCAUGAUCGGAGGUGGAAAGCUCCGGCGGAGAAGGAUGAGCUCGCGGCCUAUCAGCUUGUUGGUGAGGUAAUGGCUCACCAAGGCGACGACGGGUAGCCGGCCUGAGAGGGUGACCGGCCACACUGGGACUGAGACACGGCCCAGACUCCCGUAGGGAGG
rnacentral:rRNA from 1 species